rnacentral:hammerhead_ribozyme from 1 species
GCACUGCUGAGUAGUCCUAUAAUAGGACGAAACGGCCGUCCAGUGC